GUUCAAGAGAUAUAAAAACUUGUCAGGUGGGUUAAUAUAUUUUUCUACACAAAUCGAAUCCUUCAGGCCCUCCUCCCAGUAAAACAUCAGAACAAAACAUGGAACAGUGACAUUACUCUAAAACAAUCACUAGCAGUUAGAAAAUGUUCUUAUUGAGCCCAAAAUUGUUCAGCUCAUCUUAUUCAUCUGUCAUGUUCCCACAGUAAAAUAAGCACCAAAAGAAAGAUUACUGGGUGCAAAAUGAAAAGGACACACUUCUAAACAUCCAAUGUGAACUCUUCAGUGACAGAAUAAUUGUUAAACAUAUCGGGGAGUGUAAAAGUACAAAGCAGAAAAUGAAUACAGGUCUUUUUCUGGUCAGUGUGGCAAAUACGUAAGGGUCACAGUGCACAACACAGUUAUAAAACAUGGCAGACGGGAAUAAAUUACAUCACAUCUUUGGGAGAGAAAAGGGAAGGUAAGAGUAAAACAUGACCAAAGAUAAUGCCAACAUUGACAGCAUAAAAUCAUGGCUCAGGCUCUUUGAUUGAUGAGGUAAAUAAGUGUAACUCCAUGGGUGAGGAUUUGGAAACGGCAGUUCACAGUUGAAGGGGACAUGAGUAAAGGAAGGUUCUGGGAAUGUAGGAAAUCCUCUGUGGCCCUUAUCAACAUACUCCCAUACCAGUUUAAAUAAUGCAACCAGAACAUUAAAGUCAAAGUUUAGCAAACAAUGUAAGAGGAGUAACGCAUUUGAGUUACCAUGAUUACCAAAACAUAGCAUCAUCUAACAUUACAUUUCAGAAAAAUACUCAUGAGAAAAACAUGAGAGCUGUAAAGGGAAAGAACUUAGAAGUUUCUGAGUUCUUCCUUUACUGCCAUUGCUGUAAAGUCUAGUUUCCAUGGCAAUAUUACAGUUAUCUCCUUCCACUUUCUGUGUCUGAGGGAUGUAUUACACUGUGACAACUGCAGGACAGCAGAGCGUGGUGGCAUGCUUCAGGAACAGAGAAGACUUACAUUCUGGUGGACUUCCCGAAAGGUUUUUUUUUUUACUGUAAGCUUACAAACUUUCACAGAGGCUUAUCCAACCUGGUUGGCUCGCUACGUUGGAACCGUUUCAGCAUCUGGGAGGUGCGAUAUGGAGCACGUGUGCAUAUGUGCAAGCAAGUGUGUUUAUUUCUCGGGAGAGUCAGCGGAGAGAAAACUUUACACCCACAGAGUGAGAGAGGCAAGUGCCUGUCUGGAGAGUCUACUCAUCAGUCUCCUACAGUAAAGGCUGCCCUCCCUUUCCCCUUUUUCUCAAAGACAAACUAAAUUAGUUCUGGAAUUCUGCUGUGGAAGCCACAGCAGAGAAAGACCAGCAUCGGAAUACGGAGAGUGCUUCCGCCUGAAAUAUUUCAACAUGACCUUGCAGCAAGCGAGAGUGCGUGGAGGUAAACGCAGCUGUCGAGAGGGGAAUGAGAAUGAGGCAGGGACUGCAGUGGGCGUGUGUCUGUAUGUGUGUGUAUCAGGGUUAUCUGGCAGCUUCAGAGAGCUCUUGCUGAUCACUGCGAGCAGAAAAGGAAGCACAGAGGGAGGAGGAGGAGCAGACAGAGACACUGUGCAAGACAAGGACAGAGGAAACCUUCAUGGUCCUCUAGGGCCUUAAGGUGCUUUGAGAUCAAAUAUCCUUUUGGAUGCUUCUUUGUUCCUCCUUGACACACAUGGUUAGUCAAUUUAGAAUGGGUGAUAGAAAAAGAGAGACUGUGAAAGUAGUUUUGAAGGUUUCUUUUCUCUGUUUCCUUUAACGGACAGCUCAAUUAGGCCGUGCUUCUUCACUAGCAAACCCUAAAGGUUUAUCCCCACACACACAGCUCAGCCUCUCCCAAUCUGAUAAACCAAAAGGAAACAAGUAAGAUAGACAGAGAAAUUGAAUUAAUUUAGCAUUUUGCUCUGUCAACACAUCUCAAGAAACUAUCAAAAAAGAGAAAAUGAAAAAAACAUAGCUGACCAGUUCAGGAAUUUGCUGAUGUCCAUAAUUUGCUUUGACAUACUUCAUAUUAAUAGUCCCGUGGGGUGGUGGAAAUGCAAACUAUUCACCUUCUUUCCCAUUUCCCCAAUAAUGAUCUAUCACAGCCCAGAUCUGCCUGA